UAGGGAAUCUUCCGCAAUGGACGCAAGUCUGACGGAGCAACGCCGCGUGAGUGAAGAAGGAUUUCGGUUCGUAAAACUCUGUUGUUAGAGAAGAACAGCGCAUAGAGUAACUGUUAUGCGUGUGACGGUAUCUAACCAGAAAGCCACGGCUAACUACGUGCCAGCAGCCGCGGUAAUACGUAGGUGGCAAGCGUUGUCCGGAUUUAUUGGGCGUAAAGCGAGCGCAGGCGGUCAAUUAAGUCUGAUGUGAAAGCCCCCGGCUCAACCGGGGAGGGUCAUUGGAAACUGGUUGACUUGAGGGCAGAAGAGGAGAGUGGAAUUCCAUGUGUAGCGGUGAAAUGCGUAGAUAUAUGGAGGAACACCAGUGGCGAAGGCGACUCUCUGGUCUGUAACUGACGAUGAGGUUCGAAAGCGUGGGUAGCAAACAGG
rnacentral:rRNA from 1 species